GAUGAACUUUGCUCUCGUUAUUAGGUGCCAGGAGUGUUUUGCACUCGGUUUGUGCCGCAUCGCUCACCUUUUCACACGUCUCAUUCCCACACUGCACACGGUCCUCCAGAUGCUGUAUAAGUACCUCCACUCCGCUGGAGUUCAGCGCAGUCUGUCCUGGGGGAAACAGGGACAGCAGCACCCUCUGGAAGAUGAUCUCCUGGGAAGUGACAGCUGGAAUGAUGGCCAGGAGCAGCAGAGAAUGCAGUAGAAGUGUGGGGGCCAUGGAUUGGACAGGGGGAGUUUGGGGAGAGGAUGUAAAGUUGAGUGAAUGCUCUCAGGACACAAAGUGACAUUUGCAUUCUCUGACAUUGACUCGCCAUAUUCAUCGAGAAGGUCAGAGAUUGGCUGCCCAGCCUGAUAGGGUGCCGAACAGGUUCUCAUGUGAUAAUUAGUCUCUUGUUCCUCCCCCUUCUCUUCCCUCACCUGGGAAUCCACGCACCCUCCCAACCUUGCCGCCUGUACCAGCUACCUGACAAGUUUGUAUCAUAUUGUGUAACUAUGUCUCAGCAAACAGAAACCAUCCGAUACAGAGAGCAUUUAAUUUACUGAAUCACUGCUUGGAAGCAGUAAUAGUGAUAUAGAAAGGGUAGUAGAUACCUGGAAUAACCUUCCAGUGGGAGCAGUAACAGUGAUAUAGAAAGGGUAGUGGAUACCUGGAAUAGCCUUCCAGUGGGAGCAGUGAUAUAGAAAGGGUGGUAGAUACCUGGAAUAGCCUUCCAGUGGAAGCAGUAACAGUGAUAUAGAAAGGGUAGUAGAUACCUGGAUUAGCCUUCCAGUGGGAGCAGUAACAGUGAUAUAGAAAGUGUAGUAGAUACCUGGAAUUUCCUUCCAGUGGGAGCAGUAACAGUGAUAUAGAAAGGGUAGUAGAUACCUGGAAUAGCCUUCCAGUGGGAGCAGUAACAGUGAUAUAGAAAGGGUAGUAGAUACCUGGAAUAGCCUUCCAGUGGGAGCAGUAACAGUGAUA